rnacentral:lncRNA from 1 species
CCCUUUAUCAUUUUUUAUUGCAUCUAUUUGAUUCUUCUCUCUUUCCUUCUUUAUUAGUCUUGCUAGUGGUCUAUCAAUUUGGUUGAUCCAUUCAAAAAACCAGCUCCUAGAUUCAUUAAUUUUUUGAAGGGUUUUUUGUGUCUCUAUUUCCUUGAGUUCUCCUCUGAUUUUAGUUAUUUCUUGCCUUCUGCUAGCUUUUGAAUGUGUUUGCUCUUGCUUUUCUAGUUCUUUUAAUUGUGAUGUUAGGGUGUCAAUUUUGGAUCUUUCCUGCUUUCUCUUGUGGGCUUUUAGUGCUAUCAAUUUCCCUCUACACACUGGUUUGAAUGUGUCCCAGAGAUUCUGGUACGUUGUGUCUUUGUUCUCGUUGGUUCCAAAGAACAUCUUUAUUUCUGCCUUCAUUUCGUUAUGUACCCAGUAGUCAUUCAGGAGCAGGUUGUUCAGUUUCUAUGUAGUUGAGCGGUUUUGAGUGAGUUUCUUAAUCCUGAGUUCUAGUUUGAUUGCACCGUGGUCUGAGAGACAGUUUGUUAUAAUUUCUGUUCUUUUACAUUUGGCGAGGAGAGCUUUACUUCCAAGUAUGUGGUCAAUUUUGGAAUAGGUUUGGUGUGGUGCUGAAAAAAAUGUAUAUUCUGUUGAUUUGGGGUGGAGGGUUCUGUAGAUGUCUAUUAGGUCCGCUUGGUGCAGAGCUGAGUUCAAUUCCUGGUUAUCCUUGUUAACUUUCUGUCUCGUUGAUCUGUCUAAUGUUGACAGUGG